rnacentral:rRNA from 1 species
CAGGCCUAACACAUGCAAGUCGAACGGAAAGGCCCUGCUUUUGUGGGGUGCUCGAGUGGCGAACGGGUGAGUAACACGUGAGUAACCUGCCCUUGACUUUGGGAUAACUUCAGGAAACUGGGGCUAAUACCGGAUAGGAGCUCCCGCUGCAUGGUGGGGGUUGGAAAGUUUCGGCGGUUGGGGAUGGACUCGCGGCUUAUCAGCUUGUUGGUGGGGUAGUGGCUUACCAAGGCUUUGACGGGUAGCCGGCCUGAGAGGGUGACCGGCCACAUUGGGACUGAGAUACGGCCCAGACUCCUACGGGAGGCAGCAGUGGGGAAUAUUGCACAAUGGGCGGAAGCCUGAUGCAGCAACGCCGCGUGCGGGAUGACGGCCUUCGGGUUGUAAACCGCUUUCGCCUGUGACGAAGCGUGAGUGACGGUAAUGGGUAAAGAAGCACCGGCUAACUACGUGCCAGCAGCCGCGGUGAUACGUAGGGUGCGAGCGUUGUCCGGAUUUAUUGGGCGUAAAGGGCUCGUAGGUGGUUGAUCGCGUCGGAAGUGUAAUCUUGGGGCUUAACCCUGAGCGUGCUUUCGAUACGGGUUGACUUGAGGAAGGUAGGGGAGAAUGGAAUUCCUGGUGGAGCGGUGGAAUGCGCAGAUAUCAGGAGGAACACCAGUGGCGAAGGCGGUUCUCUGGGCCUUUCCUGACGCUGAGGAGCGAAAGCGUGGGGAGCGAACAGGCUUAGAUACCCUGGUAGUCCACGCUGUA